rnacentral:rRNA from 1 species
GACGAACGCUGGCGGCGUGCUUAACACAUGCAAGUCGAACGGAAAGGCCCUGCUUUUGUGGGGUGCUCGAGUGGCGAACGGGUGAGUAACACGUGAGUAACCUGCCCUUGACUUUGGGAUAACUUCAGGAAACUGGGGCUAAUACCGGAUAGGAGCUCCUGCUGCAUGGUGGGGGUUGGAAAGUUUCGGCGGUUGGGGAUGGACUCGCGGGUUAUCAGCUUGUUGGUGGGGUAGUGGCUUACCAAGGCUUUGACGGGUAGCCGGCCUGAGAGGGUGACCGGCCACAUUGGGACUGAGAUACGGCCCAGACUCCUACGGGAGGCAGCAGUGGGGAAUAUUGCACAAUGGGCGGAAGCCUGAUGCAGCAACGCCGCGUGCGGGAUGACGGCCUUCGGGUUGUAAACCGCUUUCGCCUGUGACGAAGCGUGAGUGACGGUAAUGGGUAAAGAAGCACCAGCUAACUACGUG